UCAGAGUACCAGUCCCCAACAUGUGAUUUGUGAAGAAUUUGUUGACUCCAAAACUUGUGAAACUGUUCAAACUCAAAGCAAACUGAAGUACUGAAACUGAGGGAAAUGUGGGAGUGCUGCCGGAUGUUCCCACAGUGUGUUAUUGUGGUCUUCACAGCUGCCAGUGAAGAGGACUGUUGGUGCAAAAAUGCUAAGCUCUCUCCUCGCGCUACAUUGCAAAGCAGUAUGGCACUGCCAGAAGCCAGUCAGAGUUGAUGCUUGGCCUUGUGACAAGGAGAAGAGACAGUAGUGGGAAAAGUACUCCGAUCAUACCAGAGAAGAGGAGGCUUGGAGGAGACAUUAUUGCUCUCUACAACUGCCUGAAAGGAGGCUGUGGCAAGGUGAGGGUCAGUCUCUUCUCCCAUAUUAACUACUGAUAGAUGAGAGAGAAUCUAUCAAGUUGCACCAGGGGAGGGUCAGGUUGGAUAUUAGAAAAUAUUUAUUCUCCAGAAGAGUGGUCAGGCACUGCAAUGCGCUGCCUGGGGAGGUGGUUGAAUCACCAUCCCUGGAGGAGUACAAGAAAAGUUUAGGUGUGGUACUAAGUGGUUUUGUGGUGGAAGGUGGAAGGUUGGACUGGAUGAUCUUGGAGGUCUUUUCCAACCUUGGUGAUUCUAUGAUUCUAUUAUACUGGGUCUGGGUUGAAGUAUUUUCUGCCCUUUGAUUAGUAACAGUGUUUGCAAACCAUUGGUAUGUCUCAUAGCAUGUGAAAUUAUGAUGAUUAGCAGCAUAGUCAUUAUAUGAUCUCAAUACAUUCAAUGCCUAUUGAACUUAGUAGGAAAAAAUCUUGCUUUAGUUGCAGACCAAUAUAUUCUUAGGUUAGGUAUGGCUCUAAAAUAUACAGUAGAAUAAAAGUGUGUGACAGCCAUGCUUGAAAUUGUUG
rnacentral:lncRNA from 1 species